AAUCAACGCUGGCGGCGUGCCUCAGACAUGCAAGUCGAACGAUUAAGACUCUCUUCGGAGAGUGCAUAAAGUGGCGCACGGGUGAGUAACACGUAAGUAAUCUACCCUCGAGUGGGGAAUAACAACCGGAAACGGUUGCUAAUACCGCAUAAUGCAGCGGCACCGCAAGGUGACAGUUGUUAAAGAUUUAUCGCUUGAGGAGGAGCUUGCGGCAGAUUAGCUAGUGGUAAGGUAAUGGCUUACCAAGGCUACGAUCUGUAACCGGUCCAAGAGGACGGUCGGUCACACUGACACUGAAUAACGGGUCAGACUCCUACGGGAGGCAGCAGUCGGGAAUUUUGGGCAAUGGGCGAAAGCCUGACCCAGCAACGCCGCGUGAAGGAUGAAGUAUUUCGGU
rnacentral:rRNA from 1 species